AGCAGCCGCGGUAAUUCCAGCUCCAAUAGCGUAUAUUAAAGUUGUUGCAGUUAAAAAGCUCGUAGUUGAACUUCGGGAUCAAUGGAUUGGUCAUGCCGUUGGUAUGUACUGGUCAUAUUGGUUCUCACCUUCUAAGGAACCUUAAUGUCAUUAAUUUGAUGUUUUGGGGAAUUAGGACUGUUACCUUGAAAAAAUUAGAGUGUUUAAAGCAGGCUAACGCUUGAAUACAUUAGCAUGGAAUAAUGAAAUAGGACAUCGCAUUCUAUUUUGUUGGUUUCUAGGAUCGAUGUAAUGAUUAAUAGGGAUAGUUGGGGGCAUUAGUAUUCAAUUGUCAGAGGUGAAAUUCUUGGAUUUAUUGAAGACUAACUACUGCGAAAGCAUUUGCCAAGGAUGUUUUCAUUAAUCAAGAACGAAAGUUAGGGGAUCGAAGACGAUCAGAUACCGUCGUAGUCUUAACCAUAAACUAUGCCGACUAGGGAUCGGAUGAUGUUGAUUUUUUAAUGACUCA
rnacentral:rRNA from 1 species